rnacentral:misc_RNA from 1 species
GUGAAUCAUCGAAUCUUUGAACGCAACUUGCGCUCUCUGGUAUUCCGGAGAGCAUGCCUGUUUGAGUGUCAUGAAAUCUCAACCAUUAGGGUUUCUUAAUGGCUUGGAUUUGGGUGUUGCCAGUCUCUGGCUCGCCUUAAAGGAGUUAGCGAGUUUAACAAUGUCGUCUGGCGUAAUAAGUUUCGCUGGUAAGACUUGUGAAGUUUGCUUCUAAUCGUCUUCGGACAAUUACUUUGACUCUGGCCUCAAAUCAGGUAGGACUACCCGCUGAACUUAAGCAUAUCAAUAAGCGGAGGA